GCUGUUGUAGCUCAGUGGUAGAGCACCCCCUUGGUAAGGGGGAGGUCGGGCGUUCAAUCCGCCUCAACAGCACCA
rnacentral:tRNA from 1 species